ACGGAAGGCAGCAGUGGGGAAUAUUGCACAAUGGGGGAAACCCUGAUGCAGCGACGCCGCGUGAGUGAAGAAGUAUUUCGGUAUGUAAAGCUCUAUCAGCAGGAAAGAAAAUGACGGUACCUGACCAAGAAGCCCCGGCUAACUACGUGCCAGCAGCCGCGGUAAUACGUAGGGGGCAAGCGUUAUCCGGAUUUACUGGGUGUAAAGGGAGCGUAGACGGCUUUGCAAGUCUGAAGUGAAAGCCCGGGGCUCAACCCCGGAACUGCUUUGGAAACUGUAGAGCUAGAGUGCAGGAGAGGUAAGUGGAAUUCCUAGUGUAGCGGUGAAAUGCGUAGAUAUUAGGAGGAACACCAGUGGCGAAGGCGGCUUACUGGACUGUAACUGACGUUGAGGCUCGAAGGCGUGGGGAGCAAACAGGAUUAGAUACCCUGGUA
rnacentral:rRNA from 2 species